rnacentral:rRNA from 1 species
ACAGCAGUGUGGAAUUUUGGACAAUGGGGGCAACCCUGAUCCAGCCAUGCCGCGUGAGUGAAGAAGGCCUUCGGGUUGUAAAGCUCUUUCGGCGGGGAAGAAAUGGCAACGGCUAAUAUCCGUUGUUGAUGACGGUACCCGCAUAAGAAGCACCGGCUAACUACGUGCCAGCAGCCGCGGUAAUACGUAGGGUGCGAGCGUUAAUCGGAAUUACUGGGCGUAAAGCGUGCGCAGGCGGUUUCGUAAGACAGACGUGAAAUCCCCGGGCUCAACCUGGGAACUGCGUUUGUGACUGCGAGGCUAGAGUACGGCAGAGGGGGGUAGAAUUCCACGUGUAGCAGUGAAAUGCGUAGAGAUGUGGAGGAAUACCGAUGGCGAAGGCAGCCCCCUGGGUUAGUACUGACGCUCA